GCAUUCUUAGCUCAGUUAGAUAGAGCAACAACCUUCGAAGUUGAUGGUCACAGGUUCACCUGUAGGAUGCG
rnacentral:tRNA from 1 species